rnacentral:rRNA from 1 species
CCUACGGGAGGCAGCAGUGGGGAAUAUUGGGCAAUGGGCGCAAGCCUGACCCAGCGACGCCGCGUGAAGGAAGAAGGCUUUCGGGUUGUAAACCUCUUUUAAGAGGGAAGAGCAGAAGACGGUACCUCUUGAAUAAGCCACGGCUAACUACGUGCCAGCAGCCGCGGUAAUACGUAGGUGGCAAGCGUUGUCCGGAUUUACUGGGUGUAAAGGGCGCUCAGCCGGGAAGGCAAGUCAGAUGUGAAAUCCCGGGGCUCAACCGCGGAACUGCAUUUGAAACUGUCUUUCUUGAGUACCGGAGAGGUCAGCGGAAUUCCUGGUGUAGCGGUGAAAUGCGUAGAUAUAAGGAAGAACACCAGUGGCGAAGGCGGAUGACUGGACGGCAACUGACGGUGAGGCGCGAAAGCGUGGGGAGCAAACAGGAUUAGAUACCCGGGUAGUC